CACACACCCAUAUCGUUCACCAU
rnacentral:siRNA from 1 species